GACGAACGCUGGCGGCGUGCUUAACACAUGCAAGUCGAACGGAAAGGCCCUGCUUUUGUGGGGUGCUCGAGUGGCGAACGGGUGAGUAACACGUGAGUAACCUGCCCUUGACUUUGGUAUAACUUCAGGAAACUGGGGCUACUACCGGAUAGGAUCUCCUGCUGCAUUGUGGGGGGUGGAUAUUUUCGGCUGUUGGGGAUGGAUGCGCGGGUUAUCAGCUUGUUGGUUGGGUAGUGGCUUACCAAGGCUUUGAAGGGUACGCCGCCUGAGAGCGUGAACGGGGUCCAUGCGCCUGAGAUACGCCGCAGUGGCGAAUGGGAGACAGUAGUCGCGAGUAUGGUACAACGAGAGCGCGUGUGUUAAGAAAACGUCGGGGGUGGGAAGCCCGUUUUUUGGUAAAGAAAAGCAUCAGGUUGAGACGACGCGUGAGUGACGGUAACCAAUGAAGAAGCACCGGCUAACUUCGUG
rnacentral:rRNA from 1 species